UGGGGAAUUUUGGACAAUGGGCGAAAGCCUGAUCCAGCAAUGCCGCGUGUGUGAAGAAGGCCUUCGGGUUGUAAAGCACUUUUGUCCGGAAAGAAAUCCUUGGCUCUAAUACAGUCGGGGGAUGACGGUACCGGAAGAAUAAGCACCGGCUAACUACGUGCCAGCAGCCGCGGUAAUACGUAGGGGUGCAAGCGUUAAUCGGAAUUACUGGGCGUAAAGCGUGCGCAGGCGGUUUGCUAAGACCGAUGUGAAAUCCCCGGGCUCAACCUGGGAACUGCAUUGGUGACUGGCAGGCUAGAGUAUGGCAGAGGGGGGUAGAAUUCCACGUUAGCAGUGAAAAUGCGUAGAGAUGUGGAGGAAUACCGAUGGCGAAGGCAGCCCCCUGGGCCAAAUACUGACGCUCAUGCACGAAAGCGUGGGGAGCAAACAGGAUUAGAUACCCUGGUAGUCCACGCCCUAAAACGAUGUCAACUAGUUGUUGGGGAUUCAUUUCCUUAGUAACGUAGCUAACGCGUGAAGUUGACCGCCUGGGGAGUACGUCGCAAGAUUAAAAACUCAAAGGAAUUGACGGGGUCAUAGCUGUUUCCU
rnacentral:rRNA from 1 species